GUGUGGUAAAAAGUCAAGUUCAUGGGUAAAAAUGUUUUAAAAUAUUAACUGUUAAAAUGCAUUUCAUAUGUAUUUUAUUUCAUAUAUGUUGUUAAAGGGCUGUUUAAUUUGAUUGUGGUGUUUUGCUAGAGAAGUGUAUCUAGUUACACGGGCUGUGGCUUGUGAAUUGGCUAACAUACGUGGGAGGAGGAGGAGGAGAAGGGACGUAAAAAAGAGAGGUGGGAGAAUGAAAAGGGAGUGAUCCGAGUGUUAACGAGCUAAUGAGGUAGUUUUGGGUGAACUUUUGCCGUUUUGGAGAGGAGUUGCGUUAGGUGUGCCUUGGAUUGUCGGCCAGAUAAUCGAGCGGGCCGCAAGAAGACGUUUUCGUGAGUUAGAAGACGUCUGUCCGACGUUUGCUGUGCUGUAACCAGUGAGACUGCUCGUUAACAGUGGGAGUGUCACUAGCCGUGUGGACAGACUGUGAGCCGCGCUAGCUAACCCAGCUAUACAAAAGCUUCGUCUGGACUGUUUCCGACCUGGAGACGAGGCUUAACUACCAAGCUCCCUGAGCCGACCUAAGAGUGGAGCCUGCCCAGGAAGCGACUACACAGUGGAGGACUGUAGGCAGGUUUUGGUUUUGGCGGCAAAAGAGAGACCUACACAAUAUUAAGUAGGUGGUCUUAAUGGCAGAGGCUACUAUGCAAGGUGCCAACUGCUAGCAGAAACCUUAUUCAUUCACAUAUGCUCACAGAACAGCAAUUUGUUGUUCAGUAUCUUGCUUAAGGACACUUUGACAAGCCAGCUGUCUGGAGGAUCAAACCACCAACCUUCUGAUUAGUGGAGAACACAGCUCACAAAUCUGCCAUUACAAUCUGUGCUGCAUACAACACUCUAUCCUGUCCUUAGACCCUAGAAUCUACAGGACAUGUGGACAGAUAAUAAACCUGUAAAACAGGAGAAAUGAUGAAGCAGAUUAAACUAUGUUAAACCAAAAAUGUGACCAUACAUUUUGUGUGGGUCGUAAAUCCAAUUAGGAAAAACUUCCCAAGAACCUCUUAAAAAACACAAAACCUCAGGAAGAGCAACAGAGGAGGGACAAAGAGACAUGCUAGAGAUGUCAUGUGUAUGGAUUAGACAUAUGAGCAAAUAUAUGUUGAGUGUUAUGAAUCCAGAAGAAUGUCAAGCAGCUUCCAGGUGCCACUAAACAGCCACACAACCUACUCUCCACAAUGGAGAGUUGGAAAGAGGACAGACAGAAACACAGAAACGUCAAAUUAGCACAUCAUUCACAAAGAGGGAGAAGAGACAAGGACACCAUUCAUACAAGGGGAGAAAAAGAGACAAGAGGUGAGGCUGGGUCUCCUGGAGGACAACAUCCAGAUCCCAAACGUGCUAAGUUUGUCCUGGACGGUGCUAUGGGAAAAGGUGCUAUAAGUCAGGGGGUCUCAAUAAAUCGUGUUGCCUCCUAAAUGUUGUAACAUAUGUAAUGUAUAUGUGAACCUUGAGGUCAGUGCAGUAAAGCUUUUACAAGAUUUAGUAGGGGUGUUACUCUGUAAGGUGUAGCCUAUGUAUUUCUUAUUUAACAGAGUUAAAAUGAAAAUCACAAAACAAUAACUGUGGAGGGACAUAAAAGACCAUUUGUGUAAUAAAACAUUAAGGUUGCAGGUUGUAC